AGUGAACGCUGGCGGUAGGCCUAACACAUGCAAGUCGAACGGCAGCACAGUAAGAGCUUGCUCUUACGGGUGGCGAGUGGCGGACGGGUGAGGAAUACAUCGGAAUCUACUUUUUCGUGGGGGAUCACGUAGGGAAACUUACGCUAAUACCGCAUACGACCUACGGGUGAAAGCAGGGGAUCUUCGGACCUUGCGCGAUUGAAUGAGCCGAUGUCGGAUUAGCUAGUUGGCGGGGUAAAGGCCCACCAAGGCGACGAUCCGUAGCUGGUCUGAGAGGAUGAUCAGCCACACUGGAGCUGAGACACGGACCAGACUCCUACGGGAGGCAGCAGUGGGGAAUAGUGGACAAUGGGCGGAAGCCUGAUCCAGCCAUACCGCGUGGGUGAAGAAGGCCUUCGGGUUGGAAAGCCCUUUUGUUGGGAAAGAAAAGCAGCAGGUUAAUACGCCGCUGUUCUGACGGUACCCAAAGAAUAAGCACCGGCUAACUUCGUG
rnacentral:rRNA from 1 species